GGGGAGGGGUUGGUCACAGACCUCUGUUGGGGUGAGGUGGAGAGAGGAUGGAGGAAGAGUUGGGGGUGAUGGGACCCCCUUGGGAUUGGGGGUAGGGAUGGGGGAGCUGUCCUUUGGGGGUUCUCCCACGUGUCACAGCAUCACGGUGCCACCCCAAAUUCUCCAUUUCCCUCCUACACACCAGGGGUGGGGGCAGUUCUUUGGGGGUCCCAUAAAUGGUCCUCCUACAGGUCACAGGGUCCCGGUACCACCCCUAAACCCCCCAUUCCCCCCCCAUCUCAGGGAUGGGCACAGCCCCUUCUUUGGGUGCCCCUUAGGGGGUCCUCAUAUAGGACACAGGAUCGUAGUGCCACCCCAAAACCCCCCAUUUCUCCCCCACACCCCAGGGAUGGGAGCAACCCCUUCUUUGGGGGUCCCAUAAGUGUUCCUCCUAUGGGUCACAGUGUUGCGGUGCCAUCGCCAAACCCCCCAAUUUCCCCCCCAAACUCAAGGUGUGGGCACAGCCCCUUUGGGUGCCCUUUUGGUGUUCCUCGUAUGUGUCACUGGGUCCCAGUGCCACCCCCAAACCCCCCAUCUCCCCCCCACAUCCAAGUGGUGGGCACAGUCCCUUCUUUGGGUGUCCCUUAGGGGGUCCUCCUAUGGGUUACAGGGUCCCAGUACCACCCCUAAACCCCCCAUUCCCUCCCCAUCUCAGUGGUGGGCACAACCCCUUCUUUGGGGGUGCCAUAAGUGUUCCUCCUAUGUGUCACAGGAUCCCAGAACCACCCCCACAGCCCAGUGGUGGGCACAGCCCCUUCUUUGGGUGCCCCUUAGGGGAUCCUCUUAUGGGUCACAGGAUCCCAGUGCCACCCCCAAACCCCCUAUUUCCCCCCCACACCCGAGCAGUGGGCACAGCCCCUUCUUUGGGUGCCAUUUAGAGGGCCUCCUAUGGGACGCAGGGUCCCAGUGCCACUCCCAAAACCCCUGUUUCUCCCCCACAUCCCAGGGGUGGGGGCAUCCCCUUCGUUGGGGGUCCCAUAAGUGUUUCUACUAUGUGUCACAGGGUCCCGAUGCCACCUCCAAACCCCCCAUUUCCCCCCCAAACUCAAGUGGUGGGCACAGCCCCUACUUUGGGUGCUCUCCUUCUUUGGGGUUCCUCUUGUGGGUCACAGGAUCCCGGUACCACCCCCAAACUCCCCAUCUCCCCCCCACACCCCAGGGGUGGGCACAGUCCCUUCUUUGGGUGCCCCUUAGGGGACCCUCCUAUGGGACACAGGGUCCUGGUGCCACCCCCAAACCCCCCAAUUUCCCCCCCCAAACUCAAGGUGUGGGCACAGCCCCUUCUUUGGGUGCCCUUUUGGGGUUCCUCGUAUGGGUCACAGGAUCCCGGUACCACCCCAAACCCCCCAUCUCCCCCCCAAAAUCAGAUCCUGCAGGCGGACGGCAGCAAUUACUGCGCCUGCGUCAACGCCGCCACGCUGGCCAUCAUCGACGCCGGCAUCGCACUGCGCGACUUCGUCUGCGCCGGCUCGGCGGGUUUGGCGGAGGACGCGGCGUUGGCGGACCUGAGUUACAUCGAGGAGGCGGCCGGGGGGCCGCAGGGAGGUCUGGCGAUGCGGGCCGGGGGCGGGGCUUUGGUGCAGAUGGACGCGCGGCUGCACCACGAGAGACUGGAGGCGGUGAUGGACGCCGCCGCCGCCGCCUGCCGCGCCGUGCACGCCGUGCUGGAGGAGGCGCUGAACCUUCCCAGCAACGCACGCUCUGUAUGCAGCUGUAUUACGUCUAUUCUGUCACAACACUGCAAGAAGAUCCCGCAGGAGACCAAAGCAGGGAACAACCGAUAGCAAACCUGAGAAAGCACCUGAAGAGACACCUGAAGGCCUGGCAUCAUCCCCCCCCCCGGUGCUCCUUGUUUAACGAGGACUCGGAGACAAUCACCACAUCAAUGCGACAAGGAGAGCGCUGGCACAUCCUGGAACAACAGGAUGGCUGCCGGCUGACAGCAGGUAACCAACAACCAAAACUGAUCAGGUGGUGAACCUGGAGCGCCCAGCCAGUGGGGAAACAGGGCAGGGGAUGGGAAAGGGAAAAGCAGGGGUAAAGGCUGGCAUCUUGUGCACAUAGGCGCUCCUGCUUGCGGGACGCCCGCC
ensembl:lncRNA